rnacentral:rRNA from 1 species
GAUGAACGCUGGCGGCGUGCCUAAUACAUGCAAGUCGAGCGAACGGACGAGAAGCUUGCUUCUCUGAUGUUAGCGGCGGACGGGUGAGUAACACGUGGAUAACCUACCUAUAAGACUGGGAUAACUUCGGGAAACCGUAGCUAAUACCGGAUAAUAUUUUGAACCGCAUGGUUCAAAAGUGAAAGACGGUCUUGCUGUCACUUAUAGAUGGAUCCGCGCUGCAUUAGCUAGUUGGUAAGGUAACGGCUUACCAAGGCAACGAUGCAUAGCCGACCUGAGAGGGGGAUCGGCUACAUCGGCAGUGAGACACGGUCCAGAAUCCUACGCGAGGCAGCUGCAGGGAAUCCUGGGGAGUGCGAGAAAGCCUGACGGAGCAACGUCUAGUGAGUGAUGAAGCUCUUGCGAUCCCAAAAGUCGGUUAUGAGGGAAGAGCAGAUGCGCAAGUUGCCGCGCAAGCAGCGACGGUACUUAGCCAGAAAGGGGCGGCGAACUACGGG